CCUACGGGAGGCAGCAGUGGGGAAUUUUGCGCAAUGCUCGUAAGAGUGACGCAGCGACGCCGCGUGAAUGACGAAGGCCUUCGGGUCGUAAAGUUCUUUCGACAGGGAAGAAAAUGCAUAUAAGUAACUGUGUAUGUAUUGACGGUACCUGUAUACGCAGCCCCGGCUAACUCCGUGCCAGCAGCCGCGGUAAUACGGAGGGGGCGAUCGUUGUUGGGAGUGACUGGGCGUAAAGAGCACGUAGGCGGUGUUGUAAGUCAUUAGUCAAAGACUAGAGCUCAACUUUAGUAAGGCUAGUGAUACUAUAAUACGAGAGUAUCAGAGAGGAUUGCAGAAUUCCUGGUGGAGCGGUGAAAUGCGGAGAUAUCAGGAGGAAUACCGUUAGCGAAGGCGGCAAUCUGGCUGGAAACUGACGCUGAGGUGCGAAAGCGUGGGUAGCAAACAGGAUUAGAUACCCUUGUAGUC
rnacentral:rRNA from 1 species